ACGCUCGACACCUACGGAGGCAGCAGUGGGGAAUAUUGCACAAUGGGGGAAACCCUGAUGCAGCGACGCCGCGUGAGUGAAGAAGUAUUUCGGUAUGUAAAGCUCUAUCAGCAGGGAAGAAAAUGACGGUACCUGAGUAAGAAGCCCCGGCUAACUACGUGCCCGCAGCCGCGGUAAUCUGAGCGGGCUGGCAAGGC
rnacentral:rRNA from 1 species